UGUACAUGCUGGCUUUGAAUGUACAUAAAUGAUGUUGUGCAUGUUGUGCCUAAAAUAAAGGGAUAUUUUCAAGAGAUUUAUAACUCUGUGUUAAAGGUAAUUAUGUGAUAAUUGAAAGUGAUUUUAUAAUUUUUCUCUUGAACCUUGGCAUGAAUUUAUGUCUGUAAAGAGUUAAUUGUCUUUUGAAGACAUAUGACCUUUCUUAAGAGGCCACAAAUAAAUCAAUUAAAGAUUGUAUAAUUAUUAUUUGGACUGUAAACAUUCCAUUCUGUUAUUCCCCUAUAUAUGUAUUACUAGAUAUGCUAUUUUUGAGGAUUAUUAUAAAAUCAGAACCUCUUGCUUUAAUUUUUUUUCAAGUUUUUUGUGAAUUUAAGAAUGGUCUAAUAUUGCAAAAGUUUAAUGCAUGUAUUUAAUUUUUGUGUUAUUUACACUCCCCAAGUCUAAUUUUCUGAAGUCUUUUUGUGUGUGCAGUUUCAACAAAUUGGUGUACGCAGAGCUGUACAUCUAAGAUGACUGCUUGAUUCUAGUAAUCUGGUUAUUUAUGAGUUAAAACAUCAGUGGCAUAGCUACUUGUACAGGGGUAGGAGGGGGGGGGGGAGAGAGAGAGGAAGACAGAUUAAACGGGUAGGCCAUGUGAAAGAACACUUUCCACACCAUUUUCCUCACUCGAAUGGCUUCAGUCAUCUUGCGCAUUUGAUCCACAUAUGACCGGUCAGAGCCAUCUAUACGCAGAGUUUGGCCAACUUGGUCUCAGUUGGUCACAACAUGCAGUCUAUUCUUUUGUUUUGUGCUUGCCCAAAUUAGUAGUAUUCGCCAUAUUGUGUCCAAUUCGUACCGAGUUGGCCAAACUCUCCUUUCCAAAAAACAUUAUUCAUUGGUUGUUAAAGUGUUUAAGCUGUACUAGUUUUUUGAAGUUCGUAUUGUGCAAUACAUCUAUGUUAUUAAUCAA